ACUGUUAGAAGUGGACUUUAAGCCUAACUCAACCCCACAAAACCGGCUUGUAGGGUGAGGUUUGCACCCACUUAUAUACACUUAAAUGGCCUCAUCUCUAGUCGAUGUGGGACUUCCAACACACCCCCUCACGUCGAGGUAUAUACAUCUCGAGCGUGGGAUUAGACUUUUUAAUGGGUGGUCCGAUAGCGGCCCGAUAGCGGGUGGAUCAAUAUGCCCAACGACAACAGAAAUCGCUAGGAUGGGCUCCAGUCAUGGCUCUGAUACCAUGUUAGAAGUGGACUUUAAGCCUAACUCAACCCCACAAAACCGGCUUGUAAGAUGAGGUUUGCACCCACUUAUAUACACUUAAAUGGCCUCAUCUCUAGUCGAUGUGGG
rnacentral:lncRNA from 1 species